rnacentral:rRNA from 1 species
ACGAACGCUGGCGGCGUGCCUAACACAUGCAAGUCGAACGAGAAAGGGGCUUCGGCUCCGAGUAAAGUGGCGCACGGGUGAGUAACACGUGGGUAACCUGCCUCUAAGAUUGGGAUAACUCGUCGAAAGAUGAGCUAAUACCGAAUAAGACCACAGUUCCCGCGGGAACAGGGGUCAAAGGUAGCCUCUGCUUGCAAGCUAUCACUUAGAGAUGGGCCUGCGCACCAUUAGCUAGUUGGUAGGGUAACGGCCUACCAAGGCAAAGAUGGUUAGCUGGUCUGAGAGGAUGAUCAGCCACACUGGAACUGAGACACGGUCCAGACUCCUACGGGAGGCAGCAGUGGGGAAUAUUGCGCAAUGGGCGAAAGCUUGACGCAGCAACGCCGCGUGAGUGAUGAAGGCCUUCGGGUCGUAAAGCUCUGUCGGGAGGAACGAAUGCUCCUGAGGUUAACAGCCUCGGGAGGUGACGGUACCUUCAAAGGAAGCACCGGCUAACUCUGUG